rnacentral:lncRNA from 1 species
CCCCUUUUUCCUAACAUGUUCUUUUAUCUACUUUAUCCAUAGACCAGAAAUCACUUGUCUUCAUAGUUGUUGUUGCCUCCACAUCAACACACAGCAGGGAGAUAGAGAGAGGAGUAAGAGAGACAAAGUAGAGAGGUAGAGAGAACUGAGCGACUGUGAUGGAGGAACCGGCGCCAACCGCCGUCGAGGAAGCGGGAACUGUUGUUACGACGUCACCAACUGCCUCCGACUGAACCAGAGUCUGUGAUGACGACGGCGAGUUCUAGAGUCCCGAUCUCUCAAUUGGUCGCCGGUUGUGGCUUCUCGAUGGUGGUCGGCCGGUUAACGGGGAUAUCCGACAAUACCCACAAAAAACCACCGCUUGUGCUUUGACAUAGUCAAUAAAUAAGGAGCGACAGAACACGUUGGUGAGCACUCCGGCAGUUCUUUCACUCCGGCGAUGGCGGUUUGGACCUGAACCAGGGACCGCUUGUCCUUGCACUGCCACUGCUUCCUCCUCCCUCUCCACCAUGCCACCGACUUCACUCCGGCGAUGGGCAGUUUGGAAUUGAAUCAGCGAGGUCGUCUCCUCCUUCCACUGCCACUGCUUCCUCCUCCUUCUCCAGUGACAAUAGCAAAUGGUGUUAUAUCCAAGAUUAAAUGAGGCAAAGGAAAAUUUAUAGUUAUAAGUGUCGUUUGUCAUCGUCGCACCUAUUAUCGCCGGUCAACGACCGCAACAACAAUCUUAGAUUAGUAGAUUAUUGUAUCACCAAGUAGACAUGGGUUGAGUCUGUGUGAACUGAUUACAUACGUGUAAUAUAUAACCAGGACUGGCUCAGCCAUUUUGUCAGACCAAAGCGAAAAAAGAAAUUGGGGCCCUUCCCCAAGAUACCGCCGCAACUCGCAUCUCAGCAGCAUGAAUGAUAGAAUCUGCCUCAAAUGCUAGAUGGUAAUAUCACAGUCCAGUCUAUUCAGAUGUAGAGGCAAAGAUGAGGCGUUUUUUGGUUGAUUUGGAGUCCAAAUGUGCAUCACUAUGAAAAACAAACUUUUUUAUGAUUGGAUAUACUGAUCAGUAUGACUACUACAAAACUGUUCGUUGCACUAUAUAUACUUUUAUGCUUUUUAGUUCAGGUUUGUGUGUACAAAGACUAGACAAGUGAUAAUCGAUACCGCAGCUGGAAUACUGGGAAAUGGUAGCGCUUUUUCAUGUUCAAAAGGGAUUACUUCUUGAACACAAACCCGAAGAAGCAGCCGCAAUAAUUCAGUUAGAUUUCAGUGGGAUUCAUUUUGUAUAACUUCGUUUUGUACAUCCUUGAUAUAUAGGCUAGGCGAUGCGACUAUGGAAUGUUGAUGUAACAAACACUUGGUUUAUCGAGUAUGAUACAUAUGAAUGAAUCCCCGCCGCAUCGCGGCGGGUGUUAAAUCCUAGUUCGAAUUAUAUUGUACAUACACUUUGCUUGAACUGGCCUUUAUUAGCGAAUAGUGAACGGUGUGGGCCUGGCCCCAUUUAGUUCCCAUGAUCUUGUUCCUUCAACUCUUAUGGAUCUACCCUCACAAAAUUGCCUUUCAUUUAUGUAUGUUUUUUUUCUUCUUUGUAUUUCCUUCAACAGCAACAACUCCAUCAUAAAUAUAAUGCGGUCAACAUGUUAAUUUUUUUUGUCAACGAAGCAGAUGCAAAUUAGAUUUGCUUUUGUCUUCUUUGUCGCCACGUAAAUAAUAGCCGCCCAAACUUAUAAAAUAUAGAUAGUGGCUUCGGCCCACUCGAGAAAAAUGCGUCAAUUUUACUUCGGUCACUGGCAUCCCACUGUGUCCAACUGGCUGGUUAUUUAAUUAUUACUCUUUUUCGUUCCAUUUGCACCAGUACCUGCCCAACACAAAAUAAUAUAAAACCACACUA